rnacentral:rRNA from 1 species
GGGGGAAUAUUGGGCAAUGGGCGAAAGCCUGACCCAGCAACGCCGCGUGAAGGAAGAAGGUUUUCGGAUUGUAAACUUCUUUUAUCAGGGACGAAGAAAGUGACGGUACCUGAUGAAUAAGCCACGGCUAACUACGUGCCAGCAGCCGCGGUAAUGCGUAGGUGGCAAGCGUUAUCCGGAUUUACUGGGUGUAAAGGGCGCGUAGGCGGGGAUGCAAGUCAGAUGUGAAUCUAUGGGCUUACCCAUAAACUGCAUUUGAAACUGUAUCUCUUGAGUGUCGGAGAGGUAGACGGAAUUCCUAGUGUAGCGGUGAAA